UAGGAUAUGUAGUGCUGCUAAGAACAAUAGUACAUGUUAACAUAAUUCGUAGAACUCCAAGCUUCUGCGUAGCCCACUUAGGCAUGCUGUAGUGCCUAAGUUCUAACUUAUAAAUAUGCAUAAAAGCUGAAAAGUCUGUUUUCUGUGCCUAGAAGCAUUGCCAUCUUGCUGAAGUUGAGCACUGCAGCUCCUACCUCAUGCCUCACGCCAUUUGGGAUUUACAAAUUGCCUGAUGCUCCCCAAGAGCAUUGAAUUCAGUACAGAUCUAGAGAGGGGAGGAUGCUUUUCAUAAUAUGUGUUUCAGAGCAGUAUUUUGCUGACAGCCCAUGUCACACAGUCCAAUGUUCUACCAUUACAUCUAUCUUGAAAAAUAAUUACUACAUUCUUGGAAACAGACUGCAAAGAAAUGAUGAUCAAGUGAAAAUUGAGGACUGGGAUGGAAAGCAGUGGGGAAUGACUUAGGAAGAAAGUGGUGCUGGAAGGAGAGGUAGGAAGAAGACCUGACUGCACACAGUUCCUCUCCUGCAGUGACUGGGCAGUAUCAUCUGCAACGAGACUGAAGUUGCACCUCUCACUUAAUGUGUACUCUUGAGAUAAACAAAACAUGUUUAAAAACCACAUAACUGCAAGUGUGACACUUCCCCACCUGAUCCUUCAGAGAAGCAGUGGCUGAAUUCCAGUCCCGGACUUUCUAAUGUAACAAUACACUCUUCAGCCACAGUUAGGGAUGUUUAACACCUCACCAGUUCUUCAAUGAAAGAAAAUGCUACAGUUCAACACCUGGAAAAGACCAGGUGAACCUUGGUUCUUAAAAGGUGCUUUUUUUUUUAAUUUGCCAAUGCAUUGGUUGUAAUGUGUUAUUAUCAUACAUACAUUCUAGACUCAGUCCUUUCAUAUCAAAUGUAAACCCUCUUAGAAGGCGUUUAAUUGUUAAUUGCUGCUUCUGUUUCUUAAUGUUUCAGUUGCUAACUGAAAAGGUAUGCUAUCUGUAUCUAAAAUAAAAAAAUUGAGCUAGUUCACAAAUUGCACAUAGUAUUACAGCAUCAUGGAAUGUGAUAGUUUCAUCUAGGAAUAUGUAGAGUAGAACACUCCACAUGCCAUUCUUCUGACUGUUUAUACUCAGGAUCUUCUGGAGAAAUUUGAUGUAUUUGUUUCACUUAAGCCAGUCAUGAUUCAAUUUACUGCAUUCUGAACAGCAGGCACAGAUCUAUAUUUCUUAAGUUUAUUUCAUUACUAGCUGAUAAUUUUAUUGUAUCUCAUUUUGAGAUUCAGCUCAUGAACACAGUAUGGUUUUGCAUUCAGCUAGAUUGUUCUUAUUUUUAGAUCUUGCCUGAUUCACUGCAAGCUUUAAAAAAAUCCAGCCAACCACCCGGUACCUUUUGUUCUUGGAACCAUUUAAAAUCAAUUUGUGAUCCUCCCCUUCAAUCUUUUUCUUCAAAACUGAUAAUAUUUCUGCAUGAAAAGUUGCUGACUUGAGUACAAUAAUAUAUGCUAAAAUCAUGCAUGCAUUUUUCUUUUUAAUUGGUUUUAUUAUAUCUGUACAUUUUCUUAUCACCUUCUUUGAAGAUGGGAUUCUAUCAUGAAAAGCUCAAUACAGAGGAACAAAUAAAGGGCCAGCUCAUUCCCUCUGUAACUGCACUUACUAGAAAAGAGCUCUCAGCUCCAGUACUCAUGUGGAAAAGCUCUUCUUUGCCCCUUUCUCAGGCUGAGGUAGAAGUCUUGGAUUUGGGUCUUUAAGGUUCUGGAAGGAACAAAGACAAGCAGUGUUUUCUUCUUGUGAUCCACAGCCUCUUGAGGAAGCCUCUCCUUCUUCUGACUCAUGCAGAAUUCUCAGUCUUGUCUAGACCAAAGCACUCAAAAAGAUGGGCUGGUGAGCACCCUUGAGUAGUUCCUAAACUGAAGCACCAACACAGAGUAUCCCAUCUGUAACAUGCUAUUGACAACCUGGAUCCUGCUUUGGGGAUAGCCCAAAACCCACAUCUGCAGCAGCCAGAGCAGUCAAGUAUGUCCUCCAUGAAAUCUACUUCACCAAGGACUACUGCCAAACUGCCUUUGAAUUUGUCUCAAUUUGGUGUUCAUUCGCAUACCCAAAGCUCAAAAUCUUUUACUAUCACAAUGAAGGAAAAACAAGAUACGAGUUUAGGAGAUGACAUGGUUUGGGUUUUUUUAUUUUCCUCCAAUCUGUAAAGUAUUCUGACAAAGUUUGAGACUCAAAUAGGAAGUGAACUGCAAAUGAAACCACACAUUACAGAUAGGUGCCACAGGAAAGCAGUAGCAGUACUGAUAUGAAAUAUUUGAAAUAUUGACCACCAAAAUAUUUUUAACAUUUUUUUUUCAGUCUAGCUGUUUUCGUUGUAAUGUAGUUUAUCGUUACAAUUUAUUAAUUUAUGGAUGUAUUUUAAUAUUUAAUAUUCUUUGAAUGCCUGACAAUGACAAAAUUUCUUUUAAGUUAAUAUAUAGAUUCAGUCACUGUGGAAAGUAUAGCUUGGUUUUCAGGGUUCUUAACAGUAUUUAAGAUUAUUAUUCAGAAUUUAUAUAUUAAUUCAUACUUAUAUUAGAGGUCAAGUGAAUAUAACAAUAAAAAAGUAAAUAAGUAGAGUGAAAUAAAUUUUCUGAAAUGAACUAUCUUUACCUAUAAAUGGAUUCAUCAGUUGUUCCUUGCAAUCUCAAAAAUGUUAACCAUGUUAACCACUAUUUUUAAACAGCUAGCAUGCAGUACUUCAUAUACCUCUAUGAGGUUGCAUGCUCAUAAAGGCCCAUGAGGUUGUAACAUUCUGUUUUAAUACCCCACAAAGACACCAGCAAGCUCAUGAGUUUCUUCCUGUGUCUAGUGCUUGAAAGACUGCGCCAGCAAAUUUGACAAGUUUGCACAAGGUUUUGACACAGAGUACAGGCUUUAGAGUUUGUUUU